ACCGAGCGACGCCGCGUGGGUGAUGAAGAUCCUCGGAUCGUAAAACCCUGUCAGGUGGGAUGAAACACCAUUCGGUUAAUACCCGAGUGGCUUGACAGUACCACCAGAGGAAGCUCCGGCCAACUCCGUGCCAGCAGCCGCGGUAACACGGGGGGAGCAAGCGUUGUUCGGAUUCAUUGGGCGUAAAGAGCUCGUAGGCGGCUCUAUAAGUCGGGAGUGAAAGACCACGGCUCAACCGUGGAAACGCUUUCGAAACUGCGGAGCUUGAGGCCGGGAGAGGAGAUUGGAAUUCCUGGUGUAGCGGUGAAAUGCGUAGAUAUCAGGAGGAACACCCGUGGCGAAGGCGAAUCUCUGGACCGGUUCUGACGCUGAGGAGCGAAAGCUAGGGGAGCAAACAGGAUUAGAUACCCUGGUAGUCCUAGCUGUAAACGAUGGGCACUAGGUGUGGGGGGAUCGACCCCUUCCGUGCCGCAGUUAACGCAUUAAGUGCCCCGCCUGGGGAGUACGACCGCAAGGUUG
rnacentral:rRNA from 1 species